UACGGGGGGGGCAAGCGUUGUUCGGAAUUACUGGGCGUAAAGGGCUCGUAGGCGGCCAACUAAGUCGGAUGUGAAAUCCCCAGGCUUAACCUGGGAACUGCAUCCGAUACUGGAUGGCUUGAAUUCGGGGAGAGGGAUGCAGAAUUCCAGGUGUAGCGGUGAAAUGCGUAGAUAUCUGGAGGAAUACCGGUGGCGAAGGCGGCAGUCCUGGACCGACGAUUGACGCUGAUGCGCGAAAGCCAGGGGAGC
rnacentral:rRNA from 1 species